rnacentral:rRNA from 1 species
AUGCGUACCACCACUGCCGAGCUCCUGCUCAUAUGCGUCCUAGCUGCCGCCAGCUUGCUGGCCUCCGAUGCACAUCAGCUCAGGCCGGCCGGCGGCUCGGUCGGUGCAGGCUGCAUACCGCGGGAGCGGGACGCCCUGCUGACAUUCAAGCGCGGCAUCACCAGCGACCCCAUGGGUGUCCUUGACUCUUGGCACAAGGAAGAUUCCUGUCAGUGGAGGGGCGUCAAGUGCAGCAACCGGACCGGCCAUGUCCUUAAGCUUGAUCUUCGUAGUCUGUAUGUGGGCAUUUUCGAUGAGUACGACACAGCUUUGGUUGGCCAGAUAAGUGAUUCUUUGCUCUCCAUGGAUCGUCUAGUGCACCUUGAUCUUAGCAUGAAUUACCUCGAGGGCCCAAGUGGCCGCAUGCCGGAGUUCUUGGCCUCUUUGACGAGAUUGAGAUAUCUCAACCUCGCCGGCAUACCAUUUUCUGGCAGAGUGCCCCAUCAACUCGGCAACCUCUCAAACUUGCAGCAUCUUGACAUCUCAUGUCAAUUUGAUGGAGAAACCAAUAUGUAUUCAAGAGACAUUUCAUGGGUAGCGCGCAUCCCUAAUUUGCAGUAUCUUGGAAUGAAUUCGGUAAACCUCUGCACAAUGGUUGAUUGGCUUUAUGUUGUGAACAUGAUUCCUUCUUUGAAGGCCCUCGAUCUUGGGUUUUGCUCUCUUCCAGCCAUAGAUCAUUCACUCUCACAUAUUAACCUUACCAAACUCGAGAUGCUUGAUCUCUCCGGCAACAUCUUUGCCCACCCAAUGGCAAGGAGUUGGUUUUGGAAUUUGACAGGCCUCCAGCAUCUCUACCUAGGCGGAGCUCAGUUAUACGGUCAACCUCCUGAUGCACUGGCACAUAUGACGUCCCUCCAAGUCCUUGAUUUGUCAUCUAAUCGUAACAUGGGGACGAUGACUACAAGCUUCAGAAAACUAUGCAAUCUAAGAAUCCUGUACCUUUCUUCUUGUCAAAUUGAUGGAAAUAUAAAGGAUAUUAUAGGGAGGAUGCCCCAGUGUCCCUUGAACAAACUGCAGGAGCUGUAUUUGGGCUCCAACAAUAUUAUCGGAAUCAUGCCGGACCGGACAGCACACUUGACCAGCUUAGUCGUUCUUGACAUCUCUGGGAACAACCUAAGUGGAGGCAUACCACGCGGUGUGGGGCUGCUCACUAGCUUAAGCAGCCUUGAUCUCUCUUGGAACUAUCUCAGUGGACAUGUGCCAUCUGAGAUCAGCAUGCUUGGCAAUUUGACAGUAAUGGAUCUCAGAGGCAACCACUUCAAUGGUGAUUUGACUGAAGAACAUUUUACAAGUCUAACGAGGUUAAAGGUGCUGUCUUUAAGUGAGAAUCCCUUGAGGAUUACAGUUGGUUCCGAUUGGAUACCACCCUUCAGUUUAGAAGGAACGGAUCUUGGCUCUUGCCAACUGGGCCCUUUGUUUCCUGCAUGGCUUCAGUUCCAAGUGGACAUUUGCUGGAUGGAUAUAUCACGCACAGGUAUAGUUGAUAGGCUUCCUGACUGGUUCAGCACUGCAUUUGCAAAGGUCACAGAUCUGGACAUCUCCAACAAUGAAAUCAGUGGCCGAUUGCCAAGAAACAUGGAAUUCAUGUCACUGCAAUUGUUUUCCGUCAAUUCAAAUAAACUAACCGGUGAAAUCCCAAACUUACCAAGAAGUAUUACCUUCCUGGACAUGUCUGAAAACUCUUUAUCUGGAAUUUUGCCAUCAAACAUUGGGACUCCAGAAUUGAUUUCAUUAUUGCUGGUAUCCAAUCAGAUAACUGGUGGCAUUCCCAAAUCUCUUUGCAAAGCGGAAGCCUUGGUUCUAUUGGACUUGCGCAACAAUCUUUUCGAGGGACAACUUCCUCGGUGUUUUGGGGUGAAGAACAUUUACUUUCUCAUGUUGAGUAACAAUAGAUUCUCUGGCAACUUCCCACCAUUUCUAAAACAUUGGAGACAAUUGAGGUCUCUAGAUCUAUCACGCAAUAAUUUUUCCGGAAGGUUGCCAUCAUGUAUUGGAGAUUUGGUUGAAUUACGAUUUCUGCGGCUAAACCAGAAUAUGUUUUCCGGAGAAAUCCCGGGCACCAUCUCAAAUCUUAGUCACCUUCACCAUCUGAAUCUUGCAGGCAAUGGCUUAUCAGGUGCCAUACCACGGCAUCUGUCAAAUGUGACUGCCAUUAAAGUAUGUAAAUUCCACGGUUUACUCAGAAUUACCUUUUGGCAGUUACUUGGAUUUUUUCAGUCAACAUUAUUUUUCCUCUGUGGUCGUCAAGGGUCGUGA